GACAGAGGGUGCAAACGUUGUUCGGAUUUACUGGGCGUAAAGCGCGUGUAGGCGGCUUGGCAAGUUGGAUGUGAAAGCCCACGGCUCAACCGUGGAAGCGCAUCCAAAACUGCUUCGCUCGAGUCUCGGAGAGGAAGGUGGAAUGCUUGGUGUAGAGGUGAAAUUCGUAGAUAUCAAGCAGAACACCUGCGGCGAAGGCGGCCUUCUGGACGAUGACUGACGCUGAGGUGCGAAAGCGUGGGGAGCAAACAGG
rnacentral:rRNA from 1 species